CUGGCCGACACACACCGGGGUGACACCGGGGGUAAUUUGGUAGCACUGUCACCCUUUGCCUUUGUAAGCGAAGUUGACGAUUUCAGCCCUUUUACCGUCGGUUUUAAAUCUGUUCGUAUUCUGGACAUUACGAUUUACUAAUACAUGAAAACACCAGCUUUCGCUCGCAAAAGAUACAUCCCAUAUUCGCCGCGAAAAACUCAUAAAAGCCAAGUCAAAAUUUAAUAGCACGCACUCCGCACGGAAGAGUAUUGAAACACAGUAUAAAAAAUCACGUUUUCGUUCAUAACAUCUUUUCCAAUUUGUAAACGUUUGCCCGUAGUUUAUCCAUGAUAAAUAAAAGAGUAUUAAAAAUAGCAAUCGACACGUAUUUUAAUAAAAUGUGAUUGUUUACACAAUUAAUUUGCAAAUAGUUUUGGAAAUGAAAUUUUUUGAAUUUAAAUAAUUUCAGUGUGCACGAAAGAAUGUGCACGGAAGAAUGAAAUUGAACACGAAAUAUCACGCACGCACGAAACUAUUUACCGUCGUUUGCAUCUACUGAUGAUCAGUCGCAAAUUCUAACCUCGCAUGCUCUUCAAUGUUUGUAAUAAUGAGCAUUUGAAGAUUUCAGUUAGCAAGCCAAUCGAUUUGAGGGUCAAGUGACGGCUAGUUAAAUUGGUGAUAAGCUGGUACACGCGUCAAAUAUUAUAGAUCGUCA